CUGGUUCUGUAAGUCAGCUGCU
rnacentral:miRNA from 1 species